AUAAUACAGUUUAUAAUAAUCUAAUUUUAUAAUUUAGAUUAUAAUAAUCUUAAUCUGAAACAAAUAGGUCCUUGAGUCACUUGUAAUUUUCUUCGAGAUGGGAGCUGUUAGUUGCACUGAAUUGAGAGGCAGCCAGCUGGGAUUUUAGUCAGAUGGGGUAUUUGACUAGGUUUUACGAGUAAAGACCCCUCCCGCCGCCAGCUACAUUGAUUUGAUCCCUCGUUCCCUCGCCGGAGUCUCCUGCCUUCUUCCGUCCUCAACAGCGGCGCCGCCUGAGAUCCCGCUCUCCACCACGCCAUUGCUCGCCGUCGUGGCGGCGGGCAGGAGUGGUCGGAUGAUGCCGAAGAUGGAGGGCGGUCGGCGGCCGGAUGACGGCCAAGACUGGAGGCGCGUGCAAUGUGCAUCGCCGGAAUCGCGUUCAACAGCAACCGACGCUCCAGAGGCAUCAGGCCUAGAAGUGACAACAGGUUCGCGAAUCGUAAACCCUCGUCUCGGGUGUGCUUGCUGUAUUCAAUUUGAGGGGGUAACUGGGAAUCACAUAGUCAGGAAAUGUAUGAAUUAUUAAAUUUUGUACAGCCUUAGAAAGUUCUGACCUUUAUGGCUGAAAUUACAGGAAGUUUAAGUUGAUUAUGGUGGAUUUUCGAUGAAAUCACAUAGAUGGGAUUGAAAGGUAGCAAAUGCAGUAGGUUAUAGCCGACUCGUUUUUGCUUAAUUUCGAUCCACUUCUCUAGAUUAUGCUUAAGUUUAUAAUAUAAGCUUUACUGUUGUUAGUUUUCAUGUUUCACGGUGCACAGGACAGUAUGACACACACUCUCUUUUCAAAGGUUCUUAGCUUCAUAAUCAAUCUGUCCAGUCAUCUGUUCUCUUGAAUUGUUUGAUACAUGUGCAGUGAAAAAUCUUUAUGGCUAUGAGAAUGUGCAUACGGAUGUUGUAAUCUUCAGAAAUGUUCAGAUAGAUGACCUGAUGUGUUUCAAAAAUCAUGUGCUUUGUAAAGAACUGGUUUACUGUUUGCCUGUAUCAUUGAAAGAAACUGACUUCCUCUAGUCUGGUUUACUUAGUAGCGCCCCAUCCUUCUUUUUUUUUUUAAUUUUCACCAGGGGGGAGAGUUUCCCCACCUGAAUUUUCAUUGAAAGGGAUUGUUAAAGUUACAUGGGAGUAAGAAGAAUAAAAGCAGUUACAGGGAUGAAAGGGCAGAAGCGAAGCAACGCUUCCACUGUGAAACUAUGGGACAUACAUCGCUUUUCAUUCGUUCUGACCAGAGGGACGCAUCUUGAAUACAUCGGCGAAGGAUCCGCUGGAGGGAGGGGGGUUCUUUUCUGAAUACCACAUCGUGCCGGUGAUUCCACAAACACCAAAAGCAAAGGAGGUAGAAGCACUUGAAUUCUACCAUUGGGAUUAUCGGAGGCGGCUUGAGCUGAAAUAAGAGUUGUGCUGAGGGGAUAUUUGGUUGAAUUCGGACCGCAGACCAGAAAGUUGAAGCAAAAGGACAGUGUAAGAAGAGGUGAUCUUCGUCUUCAUCCUAGCAGAGGCACAGCUCGCAUGUAGCAGUUGACAAUAUUGUUUUCUUGUAGAGGUUUGCACAUGUGGGCAGCCUGUUUUUUCCCAUGAGCCAGGUGAAGAACUGCACUCUUGGCGGAGCUGCAUUGUUCCAGAUGAAAUCCCAGUUGGCACAGUUAGGUAGAUCGGAGGAGGAAAGGAAUUGAUAUAGGGAGCUGGAGGACAAGAUCUCUGAAUGGCCAUUUGGGGAGUAGAUCCGCUGAUCCAUACCAUCUGAGAGCUCCAGUUGUUGGAUGAUAUUCUGCACUACUGCUAAGUCUUCUUGGGCAGCUGAGGAGAGACGAGGGGUGAGUCCCAGGGGGGCAAUUCUGUACAUUGGCAAUUCUAAUAUGAUCAACAUGCUGCAGUGCCUGUGCUUCCAUGAGGGGCUGUAUCCCUGGCAGGCUGCCCCUGGCUUGUGAGCAUCUGGCGGUCCGGCCAUCUGGGCAAGCGGCAACAGGAAAGACAGUAAUCAAGCAAAAUAAGAUGAACCUUUGGCAUGGAAGCCGAAGCACCUGCGGAUCACACAAAGGUAGUCCUGGGCAAAAAGCAAGAGGCAGGUGCUCAAGGAUAUGCACAAAGAGCAGCUUCAGGCGCAGAUCAAUGGAAGGGCCUGUUUGGUACAGCUCCAACUCCUAAAAUUAACUCCAGGAGUUGAGUCUGGAGUGGAGUUGUGGAGCUACCUAAACCCAGCUCCACAACUCUAGCACAUUUUGUGAAAGAGCUCCACCUAACUCCACUCCCAGUUUUGAUGGAGCUGAAACUGGAGCUGUGCCAAACAGGCCCGAAUUAUCCCUGUAACUGUAAAGGGUCAUUGUCAGCUUGUACCGGUGGCUAGUAAUUACAGGAAUCAAAGUAUCUGCAAAAUGCCUGAUUACAGGAUGCAAAUGCAUUUUUCCAAUCAGUACAUGAUGGCUAAUAUGUUUCAUAUAAGGAACCUGGUACUGCCCAAGAAUUACCUCAUCAGCUGCUCCACAAGAGCAAGGCUAUGGACAUGUUUGCACAAAUGUUACAGGUAGACACAUAAAAAAUGGAGCCAUGGGCUAAGGAAGCGCAUAUCAGGCUGUUACACUCCUAAAAUGGAGCCAUGGGCUAAGGAUGUGCAUAUCAGGGCUGUUGCACUCCUCUCUGAUCAGAUUUGUGGAGGAGUGGAUAGGUUCUCAUCUAGCUUGACUUCUCCCUAGUAAGUUAGUUCUUCCUUUUGGAUGGUCUGUGAACUAUAUACAUGGGUCGUGUUGUCUAAUAUGUGAAUCAUAUUAUUCCUUGCGGCUAGCAACAUGAACACAUUUUGUGAUCAACUUUGGUGGUUUGGUUGAUCACCCAAGUGCUGGUCAUUUUGUCAUUAAUCAUUAUGGGGCACCAACAUCUUUUGGAUGGCCUGUGCUAGUUGAGGGUGAGAAAGUCACAGCAUGCAGGUCAAGUGGAUGUGGUGCUAUUAUUGGGUGAUGUUGCUUUGUGAUGCCCUGGGUUCCAGUUGUUGCUGCUGAUCUACGGGAUGCAGCUUGGGGUUGUAUGCUGUGAGUAAAUGAUGCCGUGUGCAUGUUGCCAUAGCCCUGAAGUGAUGUUGCUAGUGGAAAUGCACUGUAUGAUGUUGGCUAGACAUAAAACUAAACCUUCAGUUUAAUGUGUGUUGUAUCGAUGAAUGGUAAAAUUUGGGCUGAGAAUGAGGCCAUGUGGUCGCCCGAUGUUGCUAGCCUGGAGAGAUGUGUGAUUGUGAGAUAUUUAAGAAUCUCUUAGUUAUUGCUGAAAAUUUGUGUCAAUGUGUUGAUGAAUCUGUGAGAACAUAUUUAUGAAACUGUGAUUUGUGCUUGUGAAUCUGAUGUAGGAAUCUGUGCUACUUGUUGAAAUUUCAGACCAUCUGCGGUUUUAUUUCA